UCCGGUUUGUCACCGGCAGUCCCAUUAGAGUGCCCAACUGAAUGUGGCGACUAAUGACAAGGGUUGCGCUCGUUGCGGGACUUAACCCAACAUCUCACGACACGAGCUGACGACAGCCAUGCAGCACCUGUGUUCCCGUUCCCUUUCGGGCACAGCCCCGUUUCCGUGGAUGUCAAGGCCAGGUAAGGUUCUUCGCGUUGCAUCGAAUUAAACCACAUACUCCACCGCUUGUGCGGGCCCCCGUCAAUUCCUUUGAGUUUCAGUCUUGCGACCGUACUUCCCAGGCGGCGAACUUAACGCGUUAGCUUCGAUACUGAGUGCCUAAUUGCACCCAACAUCCAGUUCGCAUCGUUUAGGGCGUGGACUAC
rnacentral:misc_RNA from 1 species